ensembl:lncRNA
CGGGGACUGGAUGUGAGGGUGCAGAGGCAGACGGAGCUGUGCGAGGCUGAAUGAGGCUCUUAAUGAGCGCUCCCUAGAGUGCUUCAUCAGAAUGUGUGCGGGGGUGGGACAGCCUCUGCAUUCUGUCUGAGAGAAGAGGUGAUAUAAUUUGUUGUGGCAGGGAGUGUGGGUCACGGUUUGUGGAAGGAGAGGGUGGCUUCGCACAGAAGCAGGAAAACCAAAGUCAUGGCUGGAGUCGUCUCUCCCGCCAGAGCCAUCCGGGGCUGGAGGGGACUCUCAGUGACCACAUCACCUCCCCUCUAGGGCAGAGAAGAGCAGAGAGCCGGACUGCAGAGGCACUGAGCCCACUUUGAAGCUGGCAAGCCUGGCCUGCCCCUCCCGGAUGUGGCCUGCCAGCUGCAGACACUGACCCCGCACCCCCGAUGGACACUCCCGCUGCUCACGUGAUAAUGCAGAACUCCGGCCCUUAGCCAGUGCAGUCCGCAGAUGCUCAGCCAGCCAACCGGAUGAGGUCCGGACGGCAGAAGGCCAGCGUGUGCCGCCUGGUCUGCUCAACUGAUUGGCGGAGUGCAUCCUGGAAAAAAAGUGGACCUGAAAGAACCCAAUUCCAGAGGGAAGGCUCCCGAUGGCAGGUCACUCCCGCCAAGUCUGGGACUGAAGCCCCCACAAGAUUAUGGAGCUGAUUCUAGUCAGACUAGAUGUGUUUGCCGUCAGAGGAGAGGUCUUGCUGAGGUGGCCAGUGAGAUCCCCGUGCGUGCCAGUUGCUGUGGAGAUGGGACAUGUCCAAGCCCGGACGUGAACUUAAGUCUCUUGUCCAGUUGUGGAGACUAGACCUUAGGAGCAACUGGACAACAAGAGAGAAGAUGGCUCAAAAUCAGGGGCUAUGCUAUUUGCUGAGUGAGUUGAAAUAAGGAUAUUAUUGAAGGUUCAAGUAAUCCAGGAGGGCUUCAUGAAGGAGAGACUUGAGUUAGAAGGUGACAGAUUUAAUAGAAAGAGCAAGUAAAAUAUCAUACGAGCAAGUAAACUCAAUUAACACAGAGUUAGGACAGCCCUCUGCUCUUCCUCCUGGUGCCCUCCUGAGGACUGGCGCUCUGCUCUCCACACACCAUGGACACACUCCAGAAGACGAGCGCGUCACCCAGGAGGAGAGGUCUCACCGACUCCCCCUCCAGUCUCCAGCUGUCGCUUCCACUGGCCGACCCCAGCCAGAAGCCAGAGGGCGGGGGUCCCUGACACAGACCACGAGACCGGUGCCCAGGAUCCUCUCUACCCCACGUGGUUGGCAGACACCACCUCGGAGCUGGUUGGAAACCCAGGAUCUCGGCCCCACCCACGCACUGCACCAGCACCUGCAUGCCAGCCACACGCCCAGUGACCCAAUGACUUGGGUGCAGGCUGCUCUCAGAGAGACUCAGACCCACCCGGCCCACGGCCAGCAAGUGAGAAGCUCCGAGUCCAGCGAGGAGGCGGGGAGAUGACGUGGUGUACAGUGCUGGGGAGAAGGGGACGACAAAGGAUGAAAUGGUUGGAUGGCAUCGCUGACACGAUGGACAUGAGUCUGAGUGAGCUCCGGGAGUUGGUGAUGGACAGGAAGCCCUGGCGUGCUGCAG